ACGAGGGUGGACAGGUGGUGCAUGGUUGUCGUCAGCUCGUGUCGUGAGAUGUUGGGUUAAGUCCCGCAACGAGCGCAACCCUCGACCUUAGUUGCCAGCAUUCAGUUGGGCACUCUAAGGUGACUGCCGGCUAAAAGUCGGAGGAAGUGGGGAUGACGUCAAAUCAUCAUGCCCCUUAUGACCUGGGCUACACACGUGCUACAAUGGUUGGUACAACGAGUUGCGAGUCGGUGACGGCGAGCUAAUCUCUUAAAGCCAAUCUCAGUUCGGAUUGUAGGCUGCAACUCGCCUACAUGAAGUCGGAAUCGCUAGUAAUCGCGGAUCAGCACGCCGCGGUGAAUACGUUCCCGGGCCUU
rnacentral:rRNA from 1 species